rnacentral:tRNA from 2 species
AAACUAAUAGGGAUGUUUUGAAAACAUCCUAAAAGGAAUUUCCUUGUAGUUUU